UUGUUCACUUCAGCAGCACACAUACUAAAAUUAGAAUGAUACAGAGAAGAUUAGUAUGGCCCCAGCACAAGGAUGACCCACAAAUUCGUGAAGUGUUCCAUAUUUUA
rnacentral:snRNA from 1 species